rnacentral:rRNA from 1 species
CAGGGAUUGCCUCAGUAACGGCGAGUGAAGCGGCAACAGCUCAAAUUUUAAAGCUGACGUCUUUGGCGUCCGCGUUGUAAUUUGGAGAGGCAUCUUCGGUUUGGGCGCCAGCCUAUGUUCCUUGGAACAGGACGUCACAGAGGGUGAGAAUCCCGUGCCUGGCUGGCUGUCCCUUUCCAUGUGAAGUGCCUUCGACGAGUCGAGUUGUUUGGGAAUGCAGCUCAAAAUGGGUGGUAAAUUUCAUCUAAAGCUAAAUAUUGGCGGGAGACCGAUAGCGCACAAGUAGAGUGAUCGAAAGAUGAAAAGCACUUUGAAAAUAGAGUUAAAAAGUACGUGAAAUUGUUGAAAGGGAAGCGCUUGAGACCAGACUCGGCCGGAGAUGAUCAGCCGUCCUUCUGGGCGGUGCACUCGUUUCCGGCCGGGCCAGCAUCGGUUGAGACGGCGGGAUAAAGGCCCGGGGAAUGUGGCUCCUUUCGGGGAGUGUUAUAGCCCCGGGCGCAAUGCCGCCAGCCUCGACCGAGGACCGCGCUUCAUUGCUAGGAUGCUGGCGUAAUGGUCUUCAGCGACCCGUCUUGAAACACGGACCAAGGAGUCUAACAUCUAUGCGAGUGUUUGGGUGUCAAACCCUUGCGCGUAAUGAAAGUGAACGGAGGUGGGAACCCCUCGCGGGGCGCACCAUCGACCGGUCCUGAUGUCUUCGGAUGGAUCUGAGUAGGAGCAUAGCUGUUGGGACCCGAAAGAUGGUGAACUAUGCCUGAAUAGGGUGAAGCCAGAGGAAACUCUGGUGGAGGCUCGCAGCGGUUCUGACGUGCAAAUCGAUCGUCAAAUUUGGGUAUAGGGGCGAAAGACUAAUCGAAC